rnacentral:tRNA from 1 species
UGGGGUGUAGCUCAGUGGUAGAGCACUUGUCUACUAUGCAGGAGCCCCUGGGUUUACACCUCAG